AGUCUGCAACUCGACUACAUGAGGCUGGAAUCGCUAGUAAUCGCAGAUCAGAAUGCCGCGGUGAAUACGUUCCCGGGUCUUGUACACACCGCCCGUCACACCAUGGGAGCCGGGAAUGCCCGAAGUCAGUGGCCCAACCGCAGGGAGGGAGCUGCCGAAGGCAGGCCUGGUGACUGGGGUGAAGUCGUAACAAGGUAAC
rnacentral:rRNA from 1 species